rnacentral:lncRNA from 1 species
ACCAGGUCUUGCUGGUAAAGUCACCAUUUGUCUGACUGCAGAUGUUUCACAAGAAGAAACUGAGAGUUUGGUUUUGUGAUGUCAGUGCCUGAGGUUAGUUGAGCCAAAUUAUUAGGCUGUGAUGCCUGAAACAGCCCAUGAGCUGAUUACUAUGCAAAUUUCAAGGAAAAGAUGGGAAAAAGUAAUCUAGUCCAUCAUGUGGCUCUGAUGGUCAUAGUAUUUUCAUGGUUAUACAGGGUCAACAAUAAAUAAUGAAGCAACUCAAAUCAUCAUAUAUUACAGUAUUGGGAAGAUAGUAGCAAGGGAGUAGAUUUGAUGAAUGAGGGUGGUGAAAGAAUUCCUCAUCUCUCAGGGCAGGGAAUCAAUAAAUUAUUCCUAAAACUGUGAAGAUCAAGACAAAACCAUCUGAAAUGUUGCUUAGAGAUAUGAAAGUGAAUGUUCCAAAGAAUCAGCUUCAAGAGUUGAAAGUGGUUACCCUUGGAGAUGGAUCAGGGCUGCAGCUGUUCAUGACAAACUUUGUAGAGAUCUCUGAUGCUCCAUAUUACAUUCCUGGGUGACUGUGAUUUUUCAAAACAACAAAUUAAUUUAAACCUGAAGUAAAAGCAAGAAGGACAAAUCUGGCCCCAGAUGGGGUGGGAUGGAGAUAAAUGGGCUGCCGUCAAGAGAAUGGGAGCCUGGGGGACAGGGCACUUAUUGGUCAGUAACAUAACAGCUGAUGGAGCCUCGACGAAGGCUACGGCUUUGGAGGAGAGGUAACUCGAAUGGCUGAUUCACUUGGAACUGGUGAGGUUACGCGAAGGUGGGAGGGUUUUUAAAAAAGAAGAACCAAAGGAGAACAAGAAACCGCGGUUAUUCCACAGGCAAGGUUAAGCUCCUCUGAGAUCUUUAGCCCUUUGUUGGGAGAAAUGACUGAAUGGGCCCUUUGGUUACACAAAUGUAAAAUAAAGGUGUGGUUUCUCCACUGAAUGAGGAAGUUUCCACCAUCAAGCCAGUGUGUCACUGAGCAAUGUGAAUUAUCCGACCCAACCAUCCCUGGCGGGUUAGGCUCACACACUGGACACCCCUGAUAUUGAUGGCUGUAGGGUGUGAACGUGGCAUCAGUAGCCAUCAAGUGUCUUAAGACAGGGUGCUCUUGUGGGUUCCUGAAGACCAAAUGCCCACAGACCCAGAAGGAAUCCACGGAGGAGGAGAAGACUGGACUUACUCCCCCAGACCCAGGCCUGAGUCUCUCUGAAAAGACAGCCUCCCACCCUUAGAGAAACUGAGCUAGCCCAGAGUUUGGGCCCAGACAGUCCAACGCCUCCAGAAUGGCCUGCCCCUUCCCUCCUCCAGAAUCACACUGCUUUCUCCAAGAAGAAUUUUCCAAUGAGCUCAUCAGCUCAUACCUUGCCCUUCUGUAACUAGCUUCUUACGCUCUGACCUCUAGAUGUUUAGUCUACAAAGGAUACCUCGACCCUGUCUGAGAGGUGCGUGGCACAGUGGGGGAAAGCCCAGGGGCCCUUAGAGUCCCAGCUUUACGUCUGAAUCUCAGCUUUUCCACAUGCUAGUUGCAUGGACUCUUUGAGGCUCACUGUCUUCAUGCGGAAACUAAGGAUCGAAAAACUUACUUCCUAGAGCUGUGAGGCUUAAGGGUGCUGGCCUGGGCUGAGAGUUGGCCCCCAAGGAGCUGGGCCGGAAGAAUGACAAUGACUCGGGCUAGAGUGGGUCUGGGGUGAGGUUAGUGAUGGUAACCCCCUCGGGGGAAACUGCAGGGGCCAUCCCUGCUCAGGCAGGAAGUAGGGCUGGACACCCUCAGAGACCCCUCUGGCUCAGUCCUGCUCCUGUCACUCUCACAGGGGCCCUGAGCCCUCCUGGCUGCAGUUUCUCCAACGAUUAUCUACAUGCUGGAGGAGAGGCUGGUGCUGGUCAAAACCCCCAUAAGAUGCUGGCUCAGGACAGCUGUCCCUAAAGUUCUCUAGGCAAGAGAAAUCUGUCUUCUGAGCCCCAUUCAGAUGGAAAAAAGGGUAAUUGCAGUUCCGAUUCAGGUCAGGCUUUGGUAUUUCACUGGUGCUCUCUCUCUCCUCUCCCUCCCCGCUCCCAGAUAUGGAUUCUGAUGGCACAUGCUUCCGCCUACACUUGUCCUGUACCUUCUCUGGCUGCCCCUGUGUCAUGCAGCCAUGUCACUGGGGUCUCCAGCCAAGGUACCUCAACACACACACACCCCCAAACCGCCCUGAUUCUGACUCCCCCUCUGUCCAUGGGGCUCACCAACACACUUUCGCAUCUUGCAUUUUCACCACAAGCCUGGGACAGAUGUCAGGGAGGGACGGUCCUCCCCACUUUAGAAACGAACAAACUGACUAGGGAACCAGAGUGACUCACCGUUCUCGUCUGCCUGAGUCUAAUAUCUCCACCCAGGCUUCUGUCCCCAGAGUUACCUUCCUAAAGCCAGAUGGGCCUUGUCAUUUCCCCAUUCAGAUCUUUCCGGUGAUUUCCCAGUGGCCAGCAAGUGCAGAGGCGUGGACUGACCUGCCCCGUGUCAUUGCUCCCCUGUCCCACCAUCCACCCUCUACUGCAUCAGUCCACCGGCCAUUUCUACUCUGUUUUCCCACCUCCGUGACUUCGCGCACUCUGUAUCCGCUGCCUGGUAUUCUUUCCCCUCCUUCUCUGAAUGUCAAAGCUGAAUUAAUCUACUAAGGUCCAGCUCAAAUGCCACCACCUCCCUUGGGGCCUCCUCUGCCAUCCCCAGGAGCCAUUCAUUGCUUCUUUCUCUGAGCUUUCCAGGCGCUUUGCACUUACCUCUCCAGGUCCAGGUCUGUCGACUUCAUUCUGCCCAGAGCUGCCAGUGGUUUGCACAAAUUAGUCUCUCCCAGGGUCUGUGAGCAACUUGAGCGCCAGCACCACCACAUAGUCACUUUGCUCUAUGACCUUGGAAAGUAACUUGACCAUUUGUGGUCUAUAAAACAGGGAUACCAUCAGCUUUUCCCGGUGGGGGUGAGGAUGGAGCAAAACGCCCAGCCCAGUGCCUCCGGUACCCAGUGGGGAAUGAUGACUGUGAAGCAAGUCAGUUAAAGCCAGGUGUGGCCAGGCCUCCGCAGCCCAGGAAACACUGCUGUUCUUGCACUGCCUUCCUCAGAGUGUUUAAACCUACCUGGAGAAAUGAGACGGUUGUGAUUCUUAAAGGCAGAUACAUACUGGAAUCACCAGUGCUCUGUGGCAUCAGAAUCCCCUGGGGCUUGCUGAAAAUGCCGAGUACUAGGCCUCACCCAGACCUGUGGAAUCACCCCCCGGCGUGGAGCCUAGGAACCUGUGUUUUUUUGUUUGUUUGUUUGUUUGUUUUUUGUCUUUUGUCUUUUUUGUUGUUGUUGUUGUUGCUAUUUCUUGGUUCUUGGGCCGCUCCCGCGGCAUAUGGAGGUUCCCAGGCUAGGGGUCGAAUCGGAGCUGUAGCCACCGGCCUACGCCAGAGCCACAGCAACGCGGGAUCCGAGCCGCAUCUGCGACCUACACCACAGCUCACGGCAACGCCGGAUCGUUAACCCACUGAGCAAGGGCAGGGACCGAACCCGCAACCUCAUGGUUCCUAGUCGGAUUCGUUAACCACUGCGCCACGACGGGAACUCCUGGAACCUUAAACUUGGAGGCCAGAUGUGUGGGGCAUAAUGUCCACACCUCCCCCUUUGCUUAGGUGACAACAGAGGCCAAUCUGGGGACUAAUGAUGCAACAGCCAGUGCCACUCCCACUCCCCAACUAGCCUCUCUUUGAGCCCCAGCACAGAGCUGGAUAUAGGGCUGACCAGCAGUCAGACUCAGUUUCCAGAUCACUUUCAUCUCCCAGCCAUCAGUGAAGUACCUGGCCCAGCCUGGGUGCUCAGCAAAUAUUUGAGGCAAUGGAACUUCCCUGGGGCCACCUCUGGUAGGAGACCAAGAGGACUCAACCUGCUGGGCUAGGCCCCAGCUGCUGCCCUCACUCUGCCUCGCUGUCUCCCCACACAGCCAAUGGUGGAGCUGCCAGACUGGUCCCUUGGGAGGGUGUGUUGGGGAGUGGAGGGUAGGCAAAGGGAGAAACUUUGGUCCUCAGGCCAGGGAGCUAUUCCCCAAGGAAGAGAAGCUGGAGGCAGGGGUAAAUGUCUGCUCCCCUCCCUGUUAGAAUUAAAGGCAGACACCAUUAGCAAGAAUUUACUGAGCUGAAGCCUUGGGCUCUGAUUUAGAGCCUCUCAAUCCAGCUGCACAUUAGAAUAUCUGAGGAGGUUAUCUGAGGGCUCAGGCUCACCUCAAGUCAAAAGAAUCAGAGCCUCUGGAGUGGUGCCUGAGCAUCGAUAUUUCUAUAAAGCAACCCAGGUAAUUCUGUUGUGCGGCUAGAAUUGAAAAACUGUUGGACAGGAGUGCCUAUCGUGGUCGGACGGAAACGAAUCUGACUAGUAUCCAUGAGGACACAGGUUCCAUCCCUGGCCUCGCCCGGUGGGUUAAGGAUCUGGUGUUGCCAUGAGCUGUGGUGUAGGUCGCAGACACAGCUCGGAUCUGGCGUUGCUGUUGUAGCCACGUAGUCAUGGAGGAAUGGGAAUGAGAUGUCCAUGUGCUAGGUUUAUGACUCCUCGUGUGACCCUGGACAAGCCCCUGACUGUCUCUGGGGCUCUCAUAACAGGAGGGGUGGGCCUUCCAGGUCCUGCAUCCCUUGGGCCUUAGAGGCCUAUCCCCAUGAGCAAUCCUACUGGGACAAGCCUCUACAUCCAGGAUGUUAACUAGGAAGGGACCUGUGCCCCAGGGAGCCAGGCUACAGAAGGAGCCUGGCCUGACUGAGUUCUGCUCCUGCUCCUUCAAACACCUGGGCCUUCUCUCCUCCACAUCUCAUUCUCCUGGCUGCCCCAGAGCUAGGAUUGCCAGAUUCUGUGGGGAGGCGGGGGAAGGAUACCCAUUUAAUUUAUUUAGUUUUUAAAAUUUUUCCAUUUCCUAUUUAUCGUAAUUUUGGUAAGAUUUUUAUUUUUUCUGUUAUAGUUGUUUUACAAUGUUCUGUCAAUUUUUGCUGUAUAGCAAAGUGACCCGAUCACACACACAUAUAUAUAUACAUUCUUUUUCUCACAUUAUCUUCCAUCAUUUUCCAUCACAAGUGCUAGAUAAAGUUCCCUGUGCUGUACAGCAGAUCUCAUUGUUUAUCCACUCCAAAUGCAAUAGUUUGCAUCUACUAACCCCAAACUCCCAGUCCAUCCCACUCCUUCCCCCUCCCCUUUGAUACAUAUUUUGCUUAAAUUUCAGAUAAACAUGAAAUAAUUUUUUUUCUCUUUCUUGGGCGCACCUGUGGCAUAUAGAAGUUCUCAAGCCAGGGAUUGAACCUAUGCUGUCUUAGAGACAAUGCCAGACCCUUAACCCACCAUGCCACAGGGUGAACUUCUGAGGUAAUUUUUUUUAAUAUAAAUAAGUCCCAAGUAAUAUUUGGGACUUUUUUUUUUUUUUUUUUUUUUUUUNCACCUGUGGCAUAUGGAGAUUCCCGGGCAAGGGGUCUAAUUGGAGCUGUAGCUGCAGGCCUACACCACAGCCACAGCAACGCAAGAUCCUUAACCCACUGAGUGAGGCCAGGGAUCAAACCCGCAACCCCAUGGUUCCUAGUUGGAUUCAUUAACCACUGAGCCAUGACAGGAACU